GUGAGAUUUCUGUCUUUAGCCGCUAUUGUAUGUGGUGAGAGGUGAGAACUGUACCACUAUAAUCAUAUAAUUAUUUGUAAUUUUCGGCCGGUUUGGAUAAUAUUUGUGUAAGGUACUUUACGUCGUUGAGCAAAGUAUUAAAUUCUUGGGUUUCAAUCACGUGAUGUUUUCAGUAGCAUAAUUUUACUCAAGUGGGGUACACAAGUACGAUCCAAACUGACCGAAAAUUACCAACAAUUUUAUGAUUAUAGUAGUAUAGUUCUCACCUUCACAUAUACAAUAGACCCAUUGCACUGACGUCACAAAUCUUUAGAGUGUCCUCCAGAUGCUCCCUAACAAUAUCUGUUUGGGUACAACAACCACAUACAGCGCAAAAAUUAACCAUUUUAAUACAAAAUUAUUAUAAACUUUUACAAAAUUUAAUUUGUUUACAAAAGUUAUAUUAUGCAUGGAUUGCUAAUUUGUCUUCCAGAUGCAUCGCCACCGGCGCUGUGACGUCAUGUGCAAUGGGUCUAUAGCGGCUAAAGACAGAAAUCUCACAUGCUGCAGUCGCCAAUCGCCAUUUUGAAAAAUAUUGCAUAAUUUAUUAAAAACAAUCCGUCAAAAUGCUGUUUAGUUGUCGUAUUUAGAAAAUUUACUCGUCUGUACUCGUCUGUCACUCGUCUGUCACUCGGGUGUAGUUUUUGAAUAGAU